rnacentral:rRNA from 1 species
CCUACGGGAGGCUGCAGUGGGGAAUAUUGGGCAAUGGAGGCAACUCUUACCCAGCAAUGCCGCGUGAAUGAAGAAGGUCUUCGGAUUGUAAAGUUCUUUAAUUGGGGACGAAAAAAAUGACGGUACCCAAGGAAUAAGCCCCGGCUAACUACGUGCCAGCAGCCGCGGUAAUACGUAGGGGGCAAGCGUUGUUCGGAAUGACUGGGCGUAAAGGGUGUGUAGGCGGUGUAGCAAGUUAGAAGUGAAAUACCUAGAGCUUAACUCAGGUGCUGCUUCUAAAACUGCUAUACUUGAGUGCAGUAGAGGAAAGUGGAAUUCCUAGUGUAGCGGUGGAAUGCAUAGAUAUCACGAAGAACCCCGAUUGCGAAGGCAGCAUACCGGCUCCACACUGACGCUGAGGCACGAAAGCGUGGGUAUCGAACAGGAUUAGAUACCCCAGUAAUC